rnacentral:siRNA from 1 species
ACAGACUGUUCAGAUCUGGUGGAG